GUUUGUGAUGUACCGGAUUUUGAGCAAUAUGUUGCGAACUGAUGUUGUCGUCAUAGAUGGUUAAAGGCUCUGUAACAGUUGACCAACCAAUCUCGUCGAGAAGUCUUCGUAAAUAAAUAGCCUCUUUAGCAGCCAUAGAUAGUGCUAUGUAUUCAGCUUCAGUGCUGCUCAACGCGACAACACUUUGCUUAGUUGAAGUCCAAGAAAAAGCACUGCCUGCUAGGAAGAAUGCGUAUCCACUAUAAGAUCUUCUAUCGAGCCUGUCAUUGGCCCAGUCAGCAUCAGCGAAACCUCUUACUGGUUCACCACACUUGCGCCGUCUCGUGUUCUGCAUGGGGAUCAGUAUUUCGUUGCGACAGUUUGCUUACUGCGUGCAAAAUGUCCGGUCGGCUCAAGACUGCUAAAUACAUAAGGGAACCAAUUAAUGACUGAUAUUGUGUUACAUUUACCUUGACACAAUUAUCAUCAAUGCAGCCAACUUGAUAGCCCGGGUUGAGCGGUGUGCUGACUGGACGGCACUUGCUCAUGCCAUACGUGUCCAAUAGUCCUUGAAUAUGCGAUUUCUGGCAAAACGAAAUCGAACCCUGUUCACCGUCUCGCUCAAUUUCCAUUCCUAGGAAAAAGUUUAUGGGGCCGCCAUCGUGCAUCUUGAAGUUUGAUGCGAUCUUCUUCUUAAUUACGGCUAUGUCAUUUUUGUUUGGACAUGCGAUAAUUAAAUCGUCGACGUAGACUGCAA